rnacentral:rRNA from 1 species
CAGUAGCCACGGGAAUACGUAGGUGGCAAGCGUUGUCCGGAAUUAUUGGGCGUAAAGCGCGCGCAGGCGGAUAGGUCAGUCUGUCUUAAAAGUUCGGGGCUUAACCCCGUGAUGGGAUGGAGACUGCCAAUCUAGAGUAUCGGAGAGGAAAGUGGAAUUCCUAGUGUAGCGGUGAAAUGCGUAGAUAUUAGGAAGAACACCAGUGGCGAAGGCGACCUUCUGGACGAAAACUGACGCUGAGGCGCGAAAGCCAGGGGAGCGAACGGGAUUAGAUACCCCGGUAGUCCCUGUCUCUUAUACA